AGGUUUUAGCAAUCCCAUGUUGGCCCCAAGAUCUUACACUCGGGAAGGUGUAGUUGAGCUUCAAUGUCAUAGGAGUGAAGUAUGUCUGAAACGUGUUCUGAGGGCUUGUUUAGAUGCUGGAGCAAGGCUUGCUGAACCUGGCGAGUUUACUCUCCGUGCCUUUUUAAAUGGGCGCUUGGACCUCUUACAAGCUGAAAACGUUGGAAAAUUGAUUUCAGUAAAGUCUGUAGCUGCUGCAGAUGCAGCACUGGCUGGCAUUCAGGCAUGUCUUCUUUUCAGAACAUUACAUAUGUUUUUCUGCCUAUGAUUAAGAUUCAUGUUUUUAUCUAUAAUUGUAUUUUUAUGCUCUCUGAAACCAUUUAGCACCCUUACUUGCAUUGCAUAUGAGUUAACGUUUUUCGGUCCAUCUCUAUUCGACAUGGAGGAUUCUCUUCCUUGGUAAAAUCACUAAGAAUACAGUGCAUUGAGCUGCUUACUGAAAUUGAAGCCCGCUUAGAUUUUGACGAUGAGAUGCCACCGCUUGCCUUUUCACAAUAAAAAGAUCAGGGGAUAGGAUAGCAACUCAAUUCUGCAGAAAAUAAUAAUAAUAAAAAAAAAAAUUCAAGUC